AAAGUUCCAUAAAAAUCGAAUAAAAGAAUCAAACAUCCACCUCUGAAAAAGACACAAUUUCCUAUCAUUUUUAAGAACUUGUGUUUUCAAAAAAAAUUAUCCAACCCAUAGGAAAAUUGAAAUAUUUCUUCCAUACCCAACACCCCUGUAAUGAGCUUCAUUUUCAGUCCUUUUCUAUCGAACCCGAACGAAAGUUGAGAAUCUUCAUCAAUACUGCUGAUGGAGAACACAGUGCCGAUUUCCACUACUGCUCCAUCAAACUCUGGUACUGGCAAUCGCCGAUCACAGCCACGCUACUUGUACUGUAGCUGCUUCAGGCGCUGCUGUCGCUGUUUCUGCUGCUUCUAUUCCUACCCAUGAUUCAUUGUUCAGAUUCUCUUAACUGCUUGUAAAUAUACGGUGUCUUCUCAGUAUAUAAAAGUGUUGUACAGUUUUCGCUUUGUAUUAUACUUUUCACCCUUUUGUUGAAUAAAAAAUCAAUUGAUGAUGUAUACCUUUUGUUGGCUAAAGUGAAUUAGUUUAUGUGUAGUUGUAGAAUUAGGAAACAAUUGAUGAUUUCUCUGUGCUCUUCGUAUGUACUGGCUAGUUUAAUUGUUUUAUGGCAAGUUACUUAGUGUCAUGUGAAGGAAAAUUGAGAUGACAGAUAUAUAAUGAGUUAGUUGAAUUUGUUGCUAACCAGUAUUAUGAACAAGUAUGUGAACUUGGGCCUUUUUGGUGUGGCUUCCUUUGUGAAAUUCAUUUAUGGUGUUUGGUUGCUGAAAUUAUUGGAAAUAAUUUAAUAAAUAAGUGCGUGCAACAUUUUCUACUUCCUUCCUACGCCACCGAAAACUUGCUACUGUUGAGGCAAGUGAUUUUCUUAGCAAAGCAUUUUCCGCCUAAAAUAUGUGCUUUUGGAAUUUUCUUACUUUGUACCAAACAUGGUUUUGCUCCUUUACCUGAAAAAGAUGGAUGCUGUAUGGUCUCAUGUGCUUUUGGUUAAGAAAUCUCCAUACCCAAUAAAAUCAUGCAUCAAAAGAUUUCUCUAACUGCUGGAAUGUUUGGCUGUUUGUAAAAGUAAGUAUGCUAUUGCUAUAUACACAUAGUCAAUACAUUUGGUAUAGUAUAAGAUUCACCUGUCCUGAAUAAAUCCAAAAAUUGUUGAAUUAGACAAGUGAUUCCAUCGUUUCUGGCUCAAUAAGAGACAAAUUGUCCGGACAUAGUUUUUCAAAUGAGGAAUCAAGCCAUUACUUUGUAACUGCUUUAUAUAAGUGAAGAAUUUCUUGCCUGCAUUGGCGACAUGCAAGUGGAGAGCAUCAUUAAAUAGAAGAAAAAUUAAGUGUCCAAUAAUUAUGUGACGGUUCAGAGCAGUUAUGUGACUUCUGAAAAAAGUGUUGAUGUAAGUAGUGUGGAUACAAGCACACAUCAGAAGUUAUGUUGAAGAUAGAAGAUGGAUGACAUGCAUACAUGACCUAGAAGGCAUCUAUUAGCUGCUGAGCUGAAAUGGAACAGUAAGGCUUAUUCAAUCACGAUGGUUUGAGCCAAAGAUGUGAUUUACUGUCUAAUUAGAGCUACCAAUCUGAGAGAUUUCAGGACUUCAACUUGUCAAGCUGGGAAUUUUGGCAGGAGGGACUUUUAGCUUGAUCUCAAUCUUGGCAAGACGAACCCAAAUGAGUGAAAUUGUUAACUCUAGAUCAAAGAGCCUACUUCAUGCAUUUAUUAUGUGUCACUGCUUAAUCAUUCUCGGAAGGCUACGCAACUGUUGGAUAAUAGUUUGUGCAUGGAUUUUGAUACUUUAAACUUCUAUUAUUUUUCCCAGGUAUCUGUCAAAGAGUUUUCCAGAGGCAGUGUGUUGAUAAAUUGCAUACUUGUGAACUGGUGUAAGUCUACGAUUUGACUGAAUAAAUCAAUACAUGAUGUGACAGUUGCAGGAGAAGUGCAUAAAAGUCCAAGAGACAGCAAGGAUAUUGUCGAACUCUACUGGCAAGAUCUUUUUACAUGCAAUGCAUAAAUCAUACUGAUAUUCUUCUACGACGAGCUGAAAGUUUGUUCAAUUCAACCUCCUUGUUUG